AGUUUUGAUUCCGUUGAACCAACAGAAGCUUUUGUUGCAGUCGAUUACCUGUGCUAAUAAGAUAUCCAAGUUGUUCUUCCCAGCGUCGUCACAAAAUUACUGGAAGAUUACAUCCUCCCAGAUUAUCAAGUGAUGGACAAAGAGUGGACUAAAUUACCGUGGUUUAGUCAAGAGUACAUCAACGGUGUUACUCGAUUUUUAGACUUUUCCUUCACUAAUGGAAGACCUCAAGGAGAUGAGCUUCUAUGCCCUUGUGCUAAGUGUAAAAAUAUAUAUUGGAAAACAAGGAAUAUUAUUAAGGAUCACCUAAUAGCCAAAGGUUUUCUAAACAGUUAUGACGUUUGGUUGCACCAUGGGGAGAAACUACAAAGGUCUAUGGAAAUUGGUGAUGGGAUGGAAGAUCAAGAGGGAUCACAUGAUGACAUUCCUAGCUUAUUGCAUGAUAUAUAUGGAGAUAGGGCAGAAGCACACGAAGUUCAUGAAGGUCCCAAUGACGAGGCUAGAACGUUUUACAAUUUGAUUAAAGAGGGGGAACAAGAAUUGUACCCUGGAUGCAAAGACUUAUCUUCGUUAUCAUUCACGAUUCGACUCUACUUGUUGAAAUGUCUCCACGGCUGGAGCAAUACGUCAUUCACUGCCCUAUUAGAAUUGUUGAAAGAAGCAAUGCCUGAUUUGAACAUUCCGGUAUCAUUUUACAAGACAAAAGCCAGGAUAUAUGGUUUAGGCCUUGAUUAUAAGAAGAUAGAUGC